rnacentral:rRNA from 1 species
UAGUGUGGUUGGCGGGGUAACGGCCCACCAAGGCGACGAUCAGUAGCCGACCUGAGAGGGUGCCGGCCACAUUGGGACUGAGACACGGCCCAAACUCCUACGGAAGGCAGCAG